rnacentral:rRNA from 1 species
UACGUAGGUGGCAAGCGUUGUCCGGAAUUAUUGGGCGUAAAGCGCGCGCAGGCGGUCAAUUAAGUUGGGUGUUUAAGCCCGGGGCUCAACCCCCGGUUCGCAUCCAAAACUGGUUGACUUGAGUGUAGGAGAGGAAAGUGGAAUUCCACGUGUAGCGGUGAAAUGCGUAGAGAUGUGGAGGAACACCAGUGGCGAAGGCGACUUUCUGGCCUAUAACUGACGCUGAGGCGCGAAAGCGUGGGGAGCAAACAGG